UCAAGGAUCUCAACCUAUUUAAUUGUUAUAAUGUUUUAUAAUCCAUUUGCAUAAAUGCAUGGUAUUAGCACUCAAUGCAAACCAAUAAUGCAUAGUUACGUCUUUUCAUCCAACGAUUUCUUUUAAAAUACUUUUUAACUCGAGUCUUUGAUCUAAUAUGUUGUGCAUAUUGGAUUAAUAUGUUGUAAAUAUUGGAUCGUACUUGUUCUUUUAUUUUUUAUUUGUUAAUUUCUAUGAGCUUGGAUGAUUAUACCUCUUUACAUUCUCUUUUACGUAAAUUUUCAAAUAUAGUUGACUAUAUAGAAAGUUACAUAUUCUAUGUGUAAAAAACUCUUGUAAAACCUUAUGAUCCUAGCCAAAAGACAUUACUUAAACCAAGAUCGAGUUAUUUUACUAUAAUAUUUUCAUAUUUCGAAAAGGCAUAAUUCUUAAGAGAAUUUAUAAGGUGAGAGAAAUAUGAUGUGUAGUGAAAGUAUGAUAAAACUUAUAUUCAUGAUGAUGAAGUUGAUUGUCCUCAUGAUACUCAAAGUGCAUGCUAAUGUCUCUAGCCCUCUCUCUUCCGCUCUGACUCCACUACCAACUAGCCUUCAUCCCUUCGAACUUGAUAAUGAGAUGAAGACUGAUAUCUUUAUUUGCAUUGAAAGCACACUUGGAAAAUGUGAAGAAAAACCCCGUAUGAAUACGUGUAUUGGUUAUUAUCUUUUUGACUGCCUUUUUUCGAACCCAGUGCACUAUAAAGAUGCUCACAGCAAACUUGCAAUUAUUAAGUCAAAGUGCCGAAAUUUUUGUAUUAAGAAAUCAAAAUUUCAUGGCCUUUAUGUCAUACCAUGUUUAGUAGACUGCUAUGAAGAGUUUUUUAAGAAGGAUUAAAUGUUUGUAUAGAGAAUCAUUGAGCCUUGAGUUUGGUAAAAGGGUCACUAAGAUGGCAUUGGAGGUUUGUGACUGGGAUCUUGAAUAGUUGCAAUAUAUGGAUAAGAACUCCUAGUUUUAUUGUUAUUUUUUAUUUUUAUUUUUUUUUUUUAUGUCUCGCUUUAGUUAUAAAAUAUAUAUAUAGAGAGAUACUUUUACUUGAUUUUGUGUUUGAAUUAUGGUUGUUGACAUGAUCAACCCCAAUGAUUGUGUUGUUUUGGAAUUGUUUGUGUUAUUCGACUAUGUGAGGCUUGAUUGGGAAUA